CCUACGGGUGGCAGCAGUGAGGAAUAUUGGUCAAUGGGCGAGAGCCUGAACCAGCCAAGUCGCGUGAGGGAAGACGGUCCUCUGGAUUGUAAACCUCUUUUGCCGGGGAGCAAAACGCGGUACGUGUACCGCCUCGAGAGUACCCGGAGAAAAAGCAUCGGCUAACUCCGUGCCAGCAGCCGCGGUAAUACGGAGGAUGCGAGCGUUAUCCGGAUUUAUUGGGUUUAAAGGGUGCGCAGGCGGCGAGUUAAGUCAGCGGUAAAAUUUCGGGGCUCAACCCCGACAAGCCGUUGAAACUGGCGGGCUAGAGUGGGCGAGAAGUAUGCGGAAUGCGUGGUGUAGCGGUGAAAUGCAUAGAUAUCACGCAGAACUCCGAUUGCGAAGGCAGCAUACCGGCGCCCAACUGACGCUCAGGCACGAAAGCGUGGGUAUCGAACAGGAUUAGAUACCCUGGUAGUC
rnacentral:rRNA from 1 species